GUGCCAGCCGCCGCGGUAAUACGUAGGGUGCGAGCGUUGUCCGGAAUUAUUGGGCGUAAAGAGCUCGUAGGCGGUUUGUUGCGUCGGCUGUGAAAACCUGCAGCUUAACUGUGGGCUUGCAGUCGAUACGGGCAGACUUGAGUUCGGUAGGGGAGACUGGAAUUCCUGGUGUAGCGGUGAAAUGCGCAGAUAUCAGGAGGAACACCGGUGGCGAAGGCGGGUCUCUGGGCCGAUACUGACGCUGAGGAGCGAAAGCGUGGGGAGCGAACAGGAUUAGAAACCCUAGUAGUCC
rnacentral:rRNA from 1 species